rnacentral:rRNA from 1 species
CACCGCGGUUAUACGAGAGGCCCGAAUUGAUAGACAUCGGCGUAAAGCGUGGUUAGUAGAAUAAAAACUAAGGCUAAACAUCUUCAAGACUGUUAUACGUACCCGAAGACAGGAAGACCAACCACGAAAGUGGCCUUAAUCUAUUUGAACCCACUAAAGCUAGGCCA